rnacentral:hammerhead_ribozyme from 1 species
AUCCAGCUGAUGAAUCCCAAAUAGGAGGAAACGGGCGUCCUGGAU